rnacentral:rRNA from 1 species
AACCAACAGGGAUUGCCUCAGUAACGGCGAGUGAAGCGGCAAAAGCUCAAAUUUUAAAGCUGGCAUCUUCGGUGUCCGCGUUGUAAUUUUGUGAGGCAUCUCCGGGUAGGGCGCCGGCCUAAGUUCCUUGGAACAGGACGUCACAGAGGGUGAGAAUCCCGUGCUUGGCUGGCUGUCCCCGUCCAUGUGAGGUGUCUUCGACGAGUCGAGUUGUUUGGGAAUGCAGCUCAAAAUGGGUGGUAAAUUUCAUCUAAAGCUAAAUAUUGGUGGGAGACCGAUAGCGCACAAGUAGAGUGAUCGAAAGAUGAAAAGCACUUUGAAAAUAGAGUUAAAAAGUACGUGAAAUUGUUGAAAGGGAAGCGCUUGAGACCAGACUUCGGUAGGGGGUGAUCAGCCGUGCUUCGGUGCGGUGCACUUGUUCCUCUCUGGGCCAGCAUCGGUUGAGGCGGCGGGAUAAAGGUCCCGGGAAUGUGGCUCCUUCACGGGAGUGUUAUAGCCCGGGUGAAUGCCGCCAGCUUCGACCGAGGACCGCGCCCGCAAGGGUUAGGAUGCUUGGCAUAAUGGUCUUCAGCGA